rnacentral:misc_RNA from 1 species
UCACCUUAUCCAUAUAUAUGCUCUGAAACGUGAUGUUUGUAUAAGUUUCUGUUAAUCCUAGUGUAAUUUUUUCCUUCUUAUUUGCACAUGAUCACCUGGUGUCAUCUGCUGCUGCACUGUCAUCGGCUGUCUCUUUAGAAACCAUAUUUUGAUUCAGUACAAACCUCAGGCUGUCACCUUCUUCAAGCUCCCAUUGCUUUGUGAGUUCAUUGAUGGCUCUUGUUGCAGCCCUGGCUACAGCAUAAUUGGAAUCUUGAGCCAAUCUCUG